AUAAACACUCAAAAUACGAUUUGCUCUUGUCGUUGUUUCGGUCUUUAAUACCUUUUUCUUCCCAUUUUCCAAAUGUUAAAAAGAAAGAAAAAAUACAUCCUUUCGUCUCUCAAAUAGACUCACACCCUGCUUAUCGUAUGUACAGGUCGGUGCACCUUCGACUUGCAUCUUCUUGGGAAAGGAAUACAUAAAUAAGAAUACUAUGCAUGUACCGAAAAUUUGAAAUACGUGACUCAAGCAUAUUCUUAUUGUGAAACUUUCAGAAAUAAAAUAAGUCUCCUUCGAGCCGGAAUCGAACCAGCGACCUAAGGAUUUCUAUGUCAGAUAUGCUUCUACAGUCCUCCGCUCUACCAGCUGAGCUAUCGAAGGGACGCCGAGUGAAAUCUUCUAUUUUCAGUAUACAAAGACUCUACGAAGACGUGGAAAAUAAGAUGCAUCAAGAAAAAAGGAAAUUUUUCAGUAUUAUCAUCGUCUCAGGAAUGGUACGAUCUUUCCCUUAACAAGAAUAUUUAGUCUGCAGGUGUAUAUUUAAUUUAUUAUUUUAAACGAAGAGCAAAACGGAAUGUUAGUCUAGUUCCUAGGACAACAGUUCCUAUAGCAUUAACAGGAGUAUUAACUGGUGCUCUAUAGUACGAAAAUGUCAUUUCAGUUACUGGAGAUUUCUGUGAACAUUUGUCAUUUAAACUGCCUCGUCAGUAAGUAGGAGUGUUACGACGCCACGUGAAAAAGCCUCACCUGUUAACACUUUCGCCUCGAUCGUAUGCAUAUUUAUUGAAAUCCCACUUGAGGUCGACUGGACUUGCUUCCAGCAAGCGUGCAGAGAAUUGCGGCCUAAAAGCAUAAUCCUAUGCACGUCAACUCCGAAACAAGUUCCACUGAGGUUCCUGCUGGAAAACUCCUUCUCCCACUUGCUAUUGUGAAGAUUGCAGUUAAGCGCAGAGAAAAUAAGGAAGUGGAAGGGUUGGUGACGUCAGCACCCUGGAUCUGAGAUCUCCUCAGCAAACUGGUAUAUCAAAAGCUGCUACUAUGGAAGACCUCUUUCCCAUUCAUUUUACUAUAUAUACAAGAAAUGGCUUUGCUGUUCAAGGUCAAGCAUGUUUGUCUUUAAUUUCAUAAACAGUCUUUGAUUUGAUAAAUCAUGGGCUUCAGUGAUUAAACUAAAUGUGUGCAUGCAUGUGCGUGCACACAUGACUAGCAAAUAAUAGACAAAGGAAAGACACUCCAGAAAUUCUUAAUACUCUGCUAACCAGGUUAAACAUUUUUCAUAAAUUUACUAAAUAGGACUCUCAAUAAAGUGGCAAUCUUGCAAUCAGUGCUUAACCGAACUAAAUUCAGCAACUAAAUUGCAAGUAAAUGCUAUUGAGGUCAAUAGGAAAUCAGCAUUUAUUUGUGGAUUUCAGUCUCAAAACUUUGAUGGGGAUCAGCUACAUACUGAGUGCACAAUCAUAAAAUAUUUAACUUUAGAUUUUAGAUUCAACUUUUCCCAAACACUCACAAAAACAAGAUUUUCAUACAUCUUCUAAGCAUAGAAUAUUUUCAUUUCAGAAAUAAGCACUGUGAAAGUCUUUCACUUUUGUAUCCUCUCUUUUGCACAUGUUAAAACAUGCAAAAGAGAGGAUACAAAAGUGAAAUAACUGGUACUGUAGUUUCCUGGCUAGGAGAAAAGGCUCAAAACAUCAUGCAGGCAAAGUUCUACAAGAGAGAGGAAAAGUAUAAGCUACUAGUCAAGAAAACCAGCUUAAAUUAUUCAUCCAUAAUGCUCCAGCUUCACAGUUCUUGCUGAUGUAUGUGAGAAUCUUGAGUAGAUUAUAUUGAUACCCUUUUUUCUAUAGUACACAGAACCACUAUCAUAUUUUUGUUAUAAAAUGCUGCCAUCAGGCAGUAUAUUCAUGAUAAAAGUUUAAGCCAGCUCUAAAAUGCCUUGGUUCUCCACAGAAGAAUUUUGGCAAUUGUAGUUCUGUGAAGUUGCUAUAAGUCAACAAUAAAGAAUUUACCUCAUACCUAUAGUACUGCUAUUUUGAGAGUUAUUUAAUGGAAGCUACAGUAGUUAAACCAGUUUUCAAAAUAAUUUAGAUAUCCACUGCAAAUGCCUCUGUCAGAGAAAACACAGCCACUUUCAUCACACCAACCAUAUUACAAGCUAGGUAUGAAAUCUGACAAAAGUAUUCCUGUGCCAAAAAGUUCUCCUAGCCAAGCACAAUCCUUUAUGGAUGCAUCAACAGCUUCUUUGGGUAAUGACCAUAAACUUAGUUGUGUAUUUACUAGAAGUUACAGUGGCUUUCUGUACAGAGCAGCAAGCACCGUGUUCUCAGUGUGAUCAAGUCUAAAAAAUCAUAUGUAACCCAUGUUUGAUCAAAUUAAACAACAAAAAUAGCAAGAUUGUGUAUUUAAACUAAUUUAUUCAUGAAAGUAUUUUUGUAUGUUUUAUAUAUAAGCUGUGUACUAAAUGAUAAAAUGUGUUCCCUGUAUGAGAGAAACAAAAACAGUGUUCAAAUGGAUUAAUAUACUUGAAUGAACUGAAGCAGCUGUACCUUCAGUUAAUUACCUGUGUAAAAAAAUAAAGCUUCCCUUAAUUGGGAUAUUCAAUUGUA